rnacentral:ncRNA from 1 species
AAACAGAUAGGUUUGGUCCUGGUCUUUACACAUGCAAGCAUCCCCACCCCAGUGAAAAAUGCCCUCUACAUCACCCGGAUCAAAAGGAGCAAGUAUCAAGCAUGCACAAAUGCAGCUCAAAAUACUUUGCUCAACCACACCCCCACGGGAAACAGCAGUGAUAAAUAUUUAGUAAUAAAUGAACGUUUAAGCUAUACUGAUAUACAGGGUUGGUCAAUUUCAUGCCAGCCACCAUGGUCAUACAAUUAACCCAAGCUAAUAGAACUCGGCGUAAAGAGUGUUUAAGAUCUGCCCUCAAUAAAGCUAAACUCCAUUUAAGUUGUAAAAAACUUAGGCUGAAAUAAAACAUAAUACGAAUGUGGCUUUAAUAUCCUGAAGGCAAGACAGCUAAGAUCCAAACUGGGAUUAGAUACCCCACUAUGCUUAGCCCUAAACUAUAAUAGUUAUAUUAACAAAACCAUUCGCCAGAAUACUAGAAGCAAUAGCUUAAAACUCAAAGGACUUGGCAGUGCUUUAUAUCCCUCUAGGGGAGCCUGUUCUAUAAUCUAUAAACCCUGAUCUACCUCACCACCUCUUGCCCCCAACCUAUAUACCGCCAUCUUCAGCAAACCCUAAAAAGAUUAUAGAGUAAGCACAAGUAAUACACAUAAAAACGUUGGGUCAAGGUGUAGCUCAUGAGGUGGGAAGAAAUGGGCUACAUUUUCUAUACCCAGAAAAUCUCAUGACAACCUUUAUGAAAUCUAAAGACUCAAGGAGGAUUUAGCAGUAAACCAAGAGUAGAGUGCUUGGUUGAAUAAGGCCAUGAAGCACACACACACUGCCUGUCAUCUUUCCAAAUACUAUUCUAGAAAUCCCUAUUACUAAAAUCUCUCUACACACGUAUAGAGGAGAUAAGUUGUAACAUGGUAAACAUACUGGAAAGUGCAUUUGGACAAACCAAAGU